rnacentral:rRNA from 1 species
UACGUAGGGUGCAAGCGUUAAUCGGAAUUACUGGGCGUAAAGCGUGCGCAGGCGGCUAUGCAAGACAGAUGUGAAAUCCCCGGGCUCAACCUGGGAACUGCAUUUGUGACUGCAUAGCUAGAGUACGGUAGAGGGGGGAUGGAAUUCCGCGUGUAGCAGUGAAAAUGCGUAGAUAUGCGGAGGAACACCGAUGGCGAAGGCAAUCCCCUGGACCUGGUACUG